UACGUAGGGUGCGAGCGUUAUUCGGAAUUACUGGGCGUAAAGCGUGCGCAGGCGGUUUUGUAAGACAGAUGUGAAAUCCCCGGGCUUAACCUGGGAACUGCAUUUGUGACUGCAUGGCUGGAGUGCGGCAGAGGGGGAUGGAAUUCCGCGUGUAGCAGUGAAAUGCGUAGAUAUGCGGAGGAACACCGAUGGCGAAGGCAAUCCCCUGGGCCUGCACUGACGCUCAUGCACGAAAGCGUGGGGAGCAAACAGG
rnacentral:rRNA from 1 species